AUUGCCUCUUGGCUUUUGGGCUGAGAUCAAGUGUAGAAUCUGUUCUUAGUUUAAUAUCUGAUAUGUCCUUUAUCUCAGGACAGUAUAGUAAAUAGAUUUUUGGAAUUUUGAGAUGGAAGAGGACCUAAAACUGUUCGCUCCUUACAUCAACAUGAUGUUGCAGCACUACCAGGAAUGGCGCACACCCU